GACGAACGCUGGCGGCGUGCUUAACACAUGCAAGUCGAACGGAAAGGCCCUGCUUUUGUGGGGUGCUCGAGUGGCGAACGGGUGAGUAACACGUGAGUAACCUGCCCUUGACUUUGGGAUAACUUCAGGAAACUGGGGCUAAUACCGGAUAGGAGCUCCUGCUGCAUGGUGGGGGUUGGAAAGUUUCGGCGGUUGGGGAUGGACUCGCGGCUUAUCAGCUUGUUGGUGGGGUAGUGGCUUACCAAGGCUUUGACGGGUAGCCGGCCUGAGAGGGUGACCGGCCACAUUGGGACUGGGAUACGGCCCAGACUCCUACGGGAGGCAGCAGUGGGGAAUAUUGCACAAUGGGCGGAAGCCUGAUGCAGCAACGCCGCGUGCGGGAUGACGGCCUUCGGGUUGUAAACCGCUUUCGCCUGAGACGAAGCGUGAGUGACGGUAAUGGGUAAAGAAGCACCGGCUAACUACGUG
rnacentral:rRNA from 1 species